GAUGAACGCUGGCGGCGUGCCUAAUACAUGCAAGUCGAGCGAACAGAUGAGCAUCUUGUUCCUCUGACGGUAGCGGCGGACGGGUGAGUAACACGUGGAUAACCUACCUAUAAGACUGGGAUAACUUCUGGAAACCGGAGCUAAGACCGGAUACUAGAUUGAACCGCAUGGUUCAAUAGUGAAAGACGAUUUUGCUGUCACUUAUAGAUGGAUCCGCGCCGCAUUAGCUACUUGGUAAGGUAACGGCUUACCAAGGCAACGAUGCGUAGCCGACCUGAGAGUGUGAUCGGCCACACUGGAACUGAGACACGGUCCAGACUCCUACGCGAGGCAGCAGUAGGGGAUCUUCCGAAAUGGGCGAAAGCCUGACGGAGCAGCGCCGCGUGAGUGAUGAAGGUCUUCGGAUCGUAAAACUCUGUUCUUAGGGACGAACAAAUGUGUAAGUAACUAUGCACGUCUUGACGGUACCUAAACAGAAAGCCACGGCUAACUACGUG
rnacentral:rRNA from 1 species